rnacentral:tRNA from 1 species
GGUAAGAUGGCUGAAAUAUAUAGGUGGUAGACUGUAAAUCUACUUAUGAGAGUUAUUCUCUCUUACCA